AGUGAACGCUGGCGGUAGGCCUAACACAUGCAAGUCGAACGGCAGCACAGUAAGAGCUUGCUCUUACGGGUGGCGAGUGGCGGACGGGUGAGGAAUACAUCGGAAUCUACUUUUUCGUGGGGGAUAACGUAGGGAAACUUACGCUAAUACCGCAUACGACCUACGGGUGAAAGCAGGGGAUCUUCGGACCUUGCGCGAUUGAAUGAGCCGAUGUCGGAUUAGCUAGUUGGCGGGGUAAAGGCCCACCAAGGCGACGAUCCGUAGCUGGUCUGAGAGGAUGAUCGGCCACACUGGAGCUGAGACACGGUCCAGGCUCCUACGGGAGGCAGCAGUGGGGAAUAUUGGACAGCGGGCGCAAGCCUGAUCCAGCCAUACCGCGUGGGUGAAGAAGGCCUUCGGGUUGUAAAGCCCUUUUGUUGGGAAAGAAAAGCAGCAGGUUAAUACGCCGCUGUUCUGACGGUACCCAAAGAAUAAGCACCGGCUAACUUCGUG
rnacentral:rRNA from 1 species